AUUUCCAUGAUUAUGAUUAUAAUAUGUAAGUUAUAUUAAGUAAAAUCAUCGAGGCUUAUCCCGGCGCGAGAGCUCUUCUUCCUUCUCCCCAGUGAGCGUGUUCCGUGUCCACGCCGGGGGAACGUUCACUCGGUGGCCGGCGUCUCUGGACGUCAUCCAUUCCAAACCCUUUUCACUCGCGUUUUGGGACGUCGCCAUCCACACACCAUUCAUUUAUCAUCCGCGGACAAACUUCUGUCUGCCCAAAGACCCAUGAAUCCUGCCAAGUGCGGAGCUGCGACGCUGCGCUGCUUUUUUUUUGAUGAGGACGCAGUCAAUAACUCUCUUGUGAAGUGGUGAAUGGCGGGCUCAUUCAGGUUUUUCCCUUCAUGACUUCGUGAAAACCUGCUACUUCAAGACCCUCUACCUAACGUGGAGCCAGCAGAAGGCUGCCUCCAAGCCCACAGGUACUGUACGGCUCCUCCCGCUCCCUUCCCUUCCAUCCACUUCAUGCUCUAUUUUUAGCAGCACCCUUCCCGGGGAUUUUGUCUUUUCUCUUCCUCUCCCCCAGACUCUCUACCAAGACCUGUUAAUAUAUGCUUCCUCAUUUUGUUUUGUUUUCUUUGAAGGUAACAGUUUUUAUUCACUUACACGAAGGCUGUCUUUGGAACCUGAGUCUUGUUGCGAAUGCUCUGCAUCGGCAAUGUGAGGUGCAUGCACCAAUAUUUGUAAUUAGUGAGCAGCAGCUGCAACUCCUCUCAAACUGGAGAUGUCAGCCCUUGUUGGUCUGUGGAGAUGAAGUGUGCGAGCAUGUUGAGUUCCCUCCACUGCCUCCACUUGUCUUUCAAAGGCAAAAUACAUAGAAAACAGACUCAAAUUUCUUGCAUAUAAU